UAGAGUUUGAUCCUGGCUCAGAUUGAACGCUGGCGGUAUGCUUAACACAUGCAAGUCGAACGGUAACAGGAGAGAGCUUGCUCUCUUGCUGACGAGUGGCGGACGGGUGAGUAACGCGUAAGAAUCUGCCUAGUAGUGGGGGACAACUUGGGGAAACCCAAGCUAAUACCGCAUACGCCCUACGGGGGAAAGUGGGGGACCUUCGGGCCUCACGCUAUUAGAUGAGCUUGCGUAGGAUUAGCUAGUUGGUGAGGUAAUGGCUCACCAAGGCGACGAUCCUUAGCUGGUUUGAGAGAACGAUCAGCCACACUGGGACUGAGACACGGCCCAGACUCCUACGGGAGGCAGCAGUGGGGAAUAUUGGACAAUGGGCGCAAGCCUGAUCCAGCAAUACCGCGUGUGUGAAGAAGGAUUUCGGUGUGUAAACUCCUUUUAUAUGGGAAGAUAAUGACGGUACCAUAUGAAUAAGCACCGGCUAACUCCGUGCCAGCAGCCGCGGUAAUACGGAGGGUGCAAGCGUUACUCGGAAUCACUGGGCGUAAAGCGCGCGCAGGCGGCUUGAUAAGUUGGAUGUGAAAGCCUACGGCUCAACCGUAGAACUGCAUCCAAAACUGUCAGGCUAGAGUGUGGGAGAGGAAGAUGGAAUUAGUUGUGUAGGGGUAAAAUCCGUAGAGAUAACUAGGAAUACCAAAAGCGAAGGCAAUCUUCUGGAACACUACUGACGCUGAGGCGCGAAAGCGUGGGGAGCAAACAGGAUUAGAUACCCUGGUAGUCCACGCAGUAAACGAUGAAUGUUAGUCGUCGGGAUGCAAGUCAUUUCGGUGAUGCAGUUAACACAUUAAACAUUCCGCCUGGGGAGUACGGUCGCAAGAUUAAAACUCAAAGGAAUAGACGGGGACCCGCACAAGUGGUGGAGCAUGUGGUUUAAUUCGAAAAUACGCGAAGAACCUUACCUAGCCUUGACAUUGAUAGAAUCUUCCAGAGAUGGAGGAGUGCCUUUCGGGGAACUUGAAAACAGGUGCUGCACGGCUGUCGUCAGCUCGUGUCGUGAGAUGUUGGGUUAAGUCCCGUAACGAGCGCAACCCUUGUCCUUAUUUGCCAGCGCGUAAUGGCGGGGACUCUAAGGACACUGCCGGUGACAAACCUGAGGAAGGCGGGGAUGACGUCAAGUCAUCAUGGCCCUUAUGGGCUGGGCUACACACGUGCUACAAUGGCCGGUACAGAGGGCAGCAAACUCGCGAGGGUAAGCAAAUCUCAGAAAACCGGUCGUAGUCCGGAUCGGAGUCUGCAACUCGACUCCGUGAAGUCGGAAUCGCUAGUAAUCGCGGAUCAGAAUGCCGCGGUGAAUACGUUCCCGGGCCUUGUACACACCGCCCGUCACACCAUGGGAGUGGAUUGCACCAGAAGUAGGUAGCUUAACCUUAGGGAGGGCGCUUACCACGGUGUGGUUCAUGACUGGGGUGAAGUCGUAACAAGGUAACCA
rnacentral:rRNA from 1 species